GAGGGACGGUACAAUACAUAAAGGUGGAGAGGGGGACGGUAACAAUACAUAAAGGUGGAGAGGGGGACGGUACAAUACAUAAAGGUGGAGAGGGGGGACGGUACAAUACAUAAAGGUGGAGAGGGGGACGGUACAAUACAUAAAGGUGGGAGAGGGGACGGUACAAUACAUAAAGGUGGAGAGCGGGACGGUACAAUACAUAAAGGUGGAGAGGGGGACGGUACAAUACAUAAAGGUGGAGAGAGGGACGGUACAAUACAUAAAGGUGGAGAGAGGGACAAUAAAAUAAUUAAAGCCAGGGAGAGAAAAACAUUCAUCUUAGCAGAGCAACAGCCUAGGGAGCCCCCUUCUCAGGGGCCAAUGGGACAUUAAACGGGUCACAGAUAUAAGGUCACAUGGUUUCAGAACAGCUACCCAGUCUUUUUGCAUUUCAUUGGGCAAAAUAGAAUAAUAGUGACUUAAAGUUUGAUACAGACAAAGCAUAGACUUAAGAGUUAACGACAACAGAGCCAGUAGGGUGAAUGUGGAGGUAUACUACCUGAACUGUCCAAUAACAACACUGAUUUUUGUUUUGCUGUAGAGUACCCUACCAAACAUGACCCAGGUCACAUUGAUUCAUCUGGUGUGGUGUGCCCCAAGGUUCUGGUCCAGUACCAGUAAAUGUUUAGUCUCAUCACAGCCAGAACUGAAGGACUGAGAGCUGAUACCAGAGCAGUCCCAGUCUCUGUCUAGGGGUGUGAGAUGUUGUUACAAAGUCAAUGACCGUACAGUAAAAUUAUCAUGCAACUCUUAAAACUUGUUCAAGCAGUCUGACAUUCAUACAAUGCACC